UGGGGAAUAUUGCACAAUGGACGGAAGUUUGAUGCAGCGACGCCGCGUGGAGGGUGUAGGCCUUCGGGUUGUGAACUCCUUUUUCUCGCGAAAAAGGCACAGUUUUGGCUGUGUUGAUGGUAGUGGGGGAAGAAGCGCCGGCUAACUACGUGCCAGCAGCCGCGGUAAUACGUAGGGCGCGAGCGUUGUCCGGAUUUAUUGGGCGUAAAGAGCUCGUAGGUGGUUCGUCGCGUCUGUCGUGAGAGCCAGCAGCUUAACUGUUGUUCUGCGGUGGGUACGGGCGGGCUUGAGUGCGGUUGGGGUGACUUGAAUUCCUUGUGUAGCAGUGGAAUGCGCAGAUAUCAGGAGGAACACCAAUGGCGAAGGCAGGUCACUGGGCCGUUACUAACACUGAGGAGCGAAAGCGUGGGGAGCGAACAGG
rnacentral:rRNA from 1 species